AACCAUAGAAACCUGCGGAGUACCUGCGGAAGGAUCAUUACAGAGUGUGACCCCCUGUAAAAAGGGGGGUACCUCCCGUCCUUUGCAGGCCCUUUAGGGUCUUUUACACUUUGCUUCGGUGGGGUAACCCACCGGAACACCCUCAAAAAUUCUGAUUUUAAAAUUGUUCAGUCUGAGAAUUUUGAAAAUAAAAUAAAAACUUUCAACAAUGGAUCU
rnacentral:misc_RNA from 1 species